UGUACUUCUUCAGGGUAAAAACUCUUUGCUUUCCCAGUCCCCAUCCUGCUGUCCAUCCACUUGAGAACGGGGGGAAGAGAAGCAGUCAUUGAAGACAGAGCCCAGUGGAUUGGAUUUUGGAGGAGCUGAGGUUUUUCCUGUCAGAGAUCCAUGAUGGGGAUAUUUUUCCUGGAUGUCCCAAAGGGAAGGAGCAACUUUGAAGUUGUUGCAGCCACAUGCUGUGGAUGCAUCCCCUGAAAACCAGUUCAGGAUUGUUCAUCUGACUCUGACCCUGAUCAGUGGCUUCCAGGGAGUCUUCUGGUGUUCUGAAUAUUCCCAGGAGAAAGAUAUUCCAGCACCUGCUUUUUAAGCCAGGAAUUCCACACCCAGGACCACAAAGACCUUCUGGACUUUGUUAUCUCAUCCCAUGGCAAAGAACACCUCCAAAACUGCCUCGUCACCUUUAUGGAAUGACAAUGGAUGUUGGGAGCUCUGGCAGAAGCACCUGGAGACCAGACUGUCUUCCUCUUGGUGCCUGGCCUGUCGCCACAAUCCCUGGGGACUGCUGGAAGCCUGGACACUGGAACCUGGGCUGCUGGAGGGCUACAGCAGACCAGUAAAGCCAGGCCAUCACCAGCAGGGUAGCAUCUCCCCAGCAGCCCCACCAGGACUUCCCUUACCGAGCCGCUGUGUGAGAGGACUGAGGAGGAGAAAGGAGGACACAAGAAGAGCCCCAGGAUGAAGGGGAUGGAGGACGAUGGUGCC